GUCAUUCCCGCGGACCAGGAGGAGGAGGAGGAGAGGCAGAUUGGGACUGAGAGCCACUCACCAGAACAACAUGGGGUGGCAUUUGGCCUGCUGACUAAAACGAACAGGUAAUGCCCUGUCAUGUCCUGCCCCAAACUCUUUCUGCUGUGAUGUUUCUGAUCAGGUCUGAUUUUGUUUCUGGCUGUGUGUUGCAGGAUGUUCACCUCUUUUGUCUACGGUCCUGUUUUCUUUUGCAUCAGUUUGCUGAGUGCAUACUCGGUGCGUCCCACCACUGGCACAAGAAGAAGAGCCGUAAACAAGACAUCCUGAAUAAGCUUUUCUGUCAAUGUGGGUUUGUGGAAACAGAUGACCUACAAUGGAUUGCCUGCAAUAGUUGCAACAAGUGGUUCCAUCAGGGAUGCGUCAACUCUCCAGCAGUGGACAAAGAAUAGCAAUGCGUUGUGUGCAUAUUUUAUUUUUAUUUCAUUGUGUUGAAAUGCCCUUUUUUAUACUUUUAUUUAUAUUUUUGCUGUAUGUUCAAUUGAUUUUAUUAAAACUGUACAUAGUUCCAUGUUGACUUUUUAUUAAAUUAUUUGAAUUAAAUUGCUUUUGCCUAAUUAAUUACUGUAGCAUAAAUUGUUUUACUUAUUAUAUGUAUGUGCAAAUUAUAUUUGACCCAUAUUACAUGUUUGAUUUAAAUAUUAAAAUGUAAUAGAUCUGACAAUUAUUUAGCAUUUUUUUCAUUGUUAUAAAACACAUAACUUUAUCUGGC
rnacentral:lncRNA from 1 species